rnacentral:rRNA from 1 species
GAGGUACCGUCAAACUUACGGAUUAUUUACCCGCAAGCAUUCUUCCCUCUCGACAGAAGUUUACGACCCUAGGGCCUUCAUCCUUCACGCGGCGUUGCUGGGUCAGGCUUUCGCCCAUUGCCCAAUAUUCCCG